CCGCAUCUGUGCAUGCAGCAUAUCAAUAAGCGGAGGAAAAGAAACUAACAAGGAUUCCCCUAGUAACGGCGAGUGAAGCGGGAAGAGCUCAAAUUUGAAAUCUUAAAGGGUUUCCCUUUACGAAUUGUAGUUUAAAGAAGUGUUUCUCUGUUGAGGUUUUGGUAAAAGUUCUUUGGAAUAGGACAUCAUAGAGGGUGAGAAUCCCGUAUUUGACCUUUACUUUCAACUUUGUGAUACACUUUCAAAGAGUCGGAUUGUUUGGGAAUGCAGUCCAAAAUGGGUGGUAAAUUUCAUCUAAAGCUAAAUAUUGGCGAGAGACUGAUAGCGAACAAGUACCGUGAGGGAAAGAUGAAAAGAACUUUGAAAAGAGAGUUAAACAGUACGUGAAAUUGUCAAAAGGGAAGCGUUUGACACCAGUGUUGUUUUUCUGAAAAUCAAUUAAAGAACUGUUUAUGCUAAGUUGUUUAGACUUUAUCAGCUAUCUGUUUAGUUUUGAGCUUUUCUUUAAUGCACUUUUCAGUUAACAAGUCAACAUCAAUUUCUUUUGCUGUAAAAAAGCUUGAGGAAGGUGGCUUGAGAUUCGUCUUAAGUGUUUAUAGCCUCUUGCCUAUGCAGUCGGAGAGAUUGAGGUCUGCAGCGUAGAUCCUUCGGGGCUAAAUGCAUUUGUGCUAAGUUAUAGCAUUUAUAGACAACUUGUUGACUAUGAUUUGUCUUGUAGCUUACUCGCUUAUGUUAUUUUACCUACGCUUAGGAUGUUGACAGCAGUAUAGACUGU
rnacentral:rRNA from 1 species